CGCGGGAUUACCUUUACAAUGCACGAAAGUGUGAUAAGGGAACCCUAAGUGCUUUGCUUAGCAAGGCUUUUGCCAAGUGUAAAUAGCUUGGAGAAUAAGUGGUGGGUAAGACGGGUGCCAGCCGCCGCGGUAACACCCGCGCCACAAGUGGGAAUCCUUUUUAUUUGGCCUAAAGCGUCCGUAGCAUGUAUAGUAAAUCUCUUGUGAAAUAGCUGGACUUAAUCCAGCAACGUGCAGGAGACACUGCUAUACUCGGAACCGGUAGGAGUUAGAAGUAUUCUUGGGGGAGCGGUAAAAUGCUAUAAUCCCAAGAAGACUACCAAUGGCGAAGGCAUCUAACCAGGACGGAUUCGACUGUGAGGGACGAAAGCUAGGGGAGCGAUCCGGAUUAGAUACCCGAGUAGUCCUAGCUGUAAACGCUGCGAGCAAGGUGUUACGUAUCCCACGCGGAUACGUAGUGUCGAAACGAAGGUGUUAAGCUCGCCGCCUGGGAAGUAUGGUCGCAAGACUGAAACUUAAAGGAAUUGGCGGGGGAGCACUACAAGGGGUGCGGCGUGCGGUUUAAUCUAAUUCAACGCAGAGAAUCUCACCAGGGGCGACGGCAGGAUGAAGGUCAGUCUAAAGGGCUUACCCGACAAGCCGAGAGGUAGUGCAUGGCCGUCGUCAGCUCGUGCCGUAAGGUGUCCUGUUAAGUCAGGCAACGAGCGAGACCUGUGCUCAUAAUUGCUAACAGCUUUAUUAAAGGACUGAGCACAUUAUGAGGACCGCCCCGGAAACGGGGAGGAAGGCGCAGGCUACGGUAGGUCUGUAUGCUCCGAAUCCUCUGGGCAACACGCGCGCAACAAUGGUGCGGACAAUGGGAUACGACUCCGAAAGGAGAAGUUAAUCCUCGAAACCGCAUCCUAGUUCGGAUUGAGGGUUGUAACCCACCCUCAUGACGCUGGAAUCCCUAGUAAUCGGAUUUCAUCAUAGUCCGGUGAAUAUGUCCCUGCUCCUUGCACGAAUUCGCCGAAUCACUAGU
rnacentral:rRNA from 1 species